GAUGAACGCUAGCUACAGGCUUAACACAUGCAAGUCGAGGGGAAACGACAUCGAAAGCUUGCUUUUGAUGGGCGUCGACCGGCGCACGGGUGAGUAACGCGUAUCCAACCUGCCCACCACUUGGGGAUAACCUUGCGAAAGUAAGACUAAUACCCAAUGAUAUCUCUAGAAGACAUCUGAAGGAGAUUAAAGAUUUAUCGGUGAUGGAUGGGGAUGCGUCUGAUUAGCUUGUUGGCGGGGUAACGGCCCACCAAGGCGACGAUCAGUAGGGGUUCUGAGAGGAAGGUCCCCCACAUUGGAACUGAGACACGGUCCAAACUCCUACGGGAGGCAGCAGUGAGGAAUAUUGGUCAAUGGGCGAGAGCUUGAACCAGCCAAGUAGCGUGCAGGAUGACGGCCCUAUGGGUUGUAAACUGCUUUUAUAAGGGAAUAAAGUGAGCCUCGUGAGGCUUUUUGCAUGUACCUUAUGAAUAAGGACCGGCUAAUUCCGUGCCAGCCGCCGCGGUAA
rnacentral:rRNA from 1 species